rnacentral:misc_RNA from 1 species
GCAAACUUGGUCAUUUAGAGGAAGUAAAAGUCGUAACAAGGUCUCCGUUGGUGAACCAGCGGAGGGAUCAUUAGAGAGUUCUCAUAAAACUCCCAAACCCCAUGUGAACCUACCUUCUGUUGCCUCGGCAGGUCGCGCCGGCGCCCAACCGCGUAGCACCCUACCCUGUAGGGCCUACCGGGGACGCGCCGGCGGCUCCCCUGCCGGCGGCCCACGAAACUCUGUUUAGCAUAUUGAAUUCUGAACGUAUAACUAAAUCAGUUAAAACUUUCAACAACGGAUCUCUUGGUUCUGGCAUCGAUGAAGAACGCAGC